rnacentral:rRNA from 1 species
ACGGAAGGCAGCAGUAGGGAAUAUUGCACAAUGGGGGAAACCCUGAUGCAGCAACGCCACGUGUGGGAAGAAGCAUUUCGGUGUGUAAACCACUGUCGUGAGGGAAUAAUGCUUGGCCUCGGCCAAGUUGAAUGUACCUCGAAAGGAAGCACCGGCAAACUUCGUGCCAGCAGCCGCGGUAAUACGAGGGGUGCAAGCGUUGUUCGGAAUCACUGGGCGUAAAGGGAGCGCAGGCGGAGAUGCAAGCAGUCUGUACAAUACCGGGGCCCAACCCCGGACCUGCGGACUGGACUGUUUCUCUUGGAUAGUUCAGGGGCAAGCGGAAUUCCUGGUGUAGCGGUGGAAUGCGUAGAGAUCAGGAAGAACACCAGAGGCGAAGGCGAGUAACUGGACCGCAACUGACACUGAGGCACGAAAGCGUGGGGAGCAAACAGGAUUAGAUACCCUGGUA